AUACUUAAGAUUCUGCACCAGGUGCCAUUAUAGUAGUAAUUGGAGUGCACUUACCUCUUUUUGUAAGUUUCGUGAGAUUCAAGAGGUUACCGAGCCGAUGUGGCUGUCACACAAGCUACAAAUGAGCAAAAAAUAAAAAUAAAAAUAAAAAUAUAAUAAACAUAACUAGAAAGAAUGCGCCAAAUCUCCCUCCUCCCAUAGUAUU
rnacentral:lncRNA from 1 species